UGAUAGUGCAAAUCAGUAACACUGACACUGUCUCCAUCCACACCCGUCACCUCCUGUUUGUCCACUGACAGCCCUGGAGGUCUUCAACACACAGUCCGCAGUACAGACAUCUUACCAUCAGUGACUGACAGAUUAACCUGAUCAGAGAGGCUCCACUGUACUUCACACCACACCAGUACCGAUCGGAAUCCUCAGCUGUCAGAUUGUUGAUGGUCACAGUGAAGACUCGCUGGUCAGGAUCAUCUCUGACUCACACUUUACCCUCCUGUGGAGAGUCAGUGUGUACUAUGGGAGUACAUGACUUCACAUUAUACCCUCUGCACCAGUACGGGACUCCACUCCAACAACCGCUGCAAAAACCGCGCCUCCCUGAGAGCCAUCACCCAUCAGCUCAUCAGCCACUGCAACCAACUGCAAAGACCUCCCUCUUUCCUGCAUCCAAGUAAACCAACUUCCUUUCCUUUCUAACAACCUAAACUGUCCUUUUCACCUGCUAUAUUUCUUUAGGUUUAUAUUCCUACAAACUGCUUGCUUUGCAGAACAGUUUUUCCCUUUUUAGGUUAAUCAUUUUAAAUCUGGUCACUGCAUUUUCAUGAUUACAUCGUUUGUGUCUUUUCCGUUAUUUCAUGUUUAUUGUUUGUUAGGUAUAAUGUCUGUCUUAUGUUAGUU